UACGUAGGGGGCAAGCGUUAUCCGGAUUUACUGGGUGUAAAGGGGGCGCAGACGGCGAUGCAAGCCAGGAGUGAAAGCCCGGGGCCCAACCCCGGGACUGCUCUUGGAACUGCGUGGCUGGAGUGCGGGAGGGGCAGGCGGAAUUCCUGGUGUAGCGGUGAAAUGCGUAGAUAUCAGGAGGAACACCGGUGGCGAAGGCGGCCUGCUGGACUGCAACUGACGUUGAGGCCCGAAAGCGUGGGGAGCAAACAGG
rnacentral:rRNA from 1 species